AUUGAACGCUGGCGGCAGGCCUAACACAUGCAAGUCGAGCGAGCGGAGGACGGGUGAGGAAUGGAGGGGGACUGCCUGAUAGAGGGGGAUAACUACGGGAAAAGGUGGCUAAUACCGCAUACUAUCGGAUAACACAUAUGGGAUUAGCUAGUAGGUGGGGUAAAGGCUCACCUAGGCGAUGAUCUCUAGCUGGUCUGAGAGGAUGAUCAGCCACACUGUGACUGAGACACGGCCCAGACUCCUACGGAGGCAGCAGUGGGGAAUAUUUCACAAUGGGCGCAAGCCUGAUGCAGCCAUGCCGCGUGUAUGAAGAAGGCCUUAGGGUUGUAAAGUACUUUCAGCGGGGAGGCGUUACCCGCAGAAGAAGCACCGGCUAACUCCGUGCCAGCAGCCGCGGUAAUUC
rnacentral:rRNA from 1 species